ensembl:lncRNA
AUUUAUUUGUUGUUUUUCUUUAUGUUCUUAAUAAAAUAAACCUCUGCUUGCAUAAAGAUCCUCGUUCCUCAUCUCCAGCAAAACAUUAUACUUUCUAACACUGCUUUCAUGAUGCAGGGGUAACAGUAAGACAAAAAGAAGAAAAUGCCUCUGAAACCUUGCUGAAGAAGACAGACAGUCAGUUGCCUUCAGAUGUAAAUUCACAUGUGGUGAGGGUGCUACAUUUUGGAAGCUUCAGCGAGGAUGAAAGCAGUGCGUGUUGGCUUCCAGUGAUGACAACACACUUCCAGUGCCAUUCAGCCUACUACAGCCCAGAUGACCAGUGGAGUGAACUACAGCCCAGGUGACCAGUGAAGUGAAGGCGUUCGUGUCCGUGUCAAGCUAGGAAGGAAAGUGCAAGCAAUCUGAGGUUGAUCUUCGAUACCAGGAGCGCUGCAGGUUACCAGCCAGCUAAGGACAUUUCUUCUAUCACUUUGCACACAUCAAGAGACUGAGCAACACAUGGAUCAUGUGGAGGAUUUGAAGCUUGAGGUGAUAGGAGCAGUAUAUGCUCUCCCACAAGAAUAUUUGACUGAACUAUGUGAAUUCCUAGGGGAUUGAGUGUGAACAUGCCAGUAGCAAAAGCGGGUCAUUUCUUGUUUCUGUAAUUGUGAGACAUGUCGAGCGAAAGGCAUUAGUGGAAUUGGAAGAUGCGGGCAUGUCUGUUUGUCAUGUCAGCAAAGAGUUAUGCAAUGGUGUCCCCCACAAGCUGCACACAGUGUGGUAUGACAGGUUCCGGCUUUAGAUUACGACACUGCGCCGCCUGUUAACAAACAUUAUAUUGUUCAAAAGCCUGUCAAGCUAAUCACUGACAGUCCAUAAGAAACAAUUUAACCAGACAGCAAGAGUAAACACAAAUUCAGCAAAGCACAGAAAUAAAUGGGAGCCGAGCAGUCUACACACGCCGCCUUUGUAGGAAAACAGUGUCUAGUGCCGUGUUACAUUCAUGGGCUCCUUGUUGAUGCGGGGGAAGUCGUGGCCUAAUGGUUAGAGAGUUUGACUCCUAACCCUAAGGUUGUGGGUU